GAAAAUAUUAAUUAUUUCCGAAAAACGAGCAAUACUGACGAGCAACUAACAACGGAACAAUGUUUGU
rnacentral:tRNA from 1 species